rnacentral:rRNA from 1 species
GAUGAACGCUGGCGGCGUGCCUAAUACAUGCAAGUCGAGCGAACAGACGAGGAGCUUGCUCCUCUGACGUUAGCGGCGGACGGGUGAGUAACACGUGGAUAACCUACCUAUAAGACUGGGAUAGCUUCGGGAAACCGGAGCUAAUAUCGGAUAAUAUAUUGAACCGCAUGGUUCAAUAGUGAAAGACGGUUUUGCUGUCACUUAUAGAUGGAUCCGCGCCGCUUUGGCUAGUUGGUAAGGUAAAGGCUUACCAAGGCAACGAUGCGUAGCCGACCUGGGAGGGGGGUCGCCCACCUUGGAACUGAACCACGGUCCAGGCGCCUGAGGGAGGCAGCAGUAGGGAAUCGGCCGCAAUAGGCGAAAGCUUGACAGAGCAACGCCGCGUGAGUGAUGAAGGUCUUCGGAUCGUAAAACUCUGUUAUUGGGGAAGAACAAAUGUGUAAGUAACUAUGCACGUCUUGACGGUACCUAAUCAGAAAGCAACGGCUAACUACGUG